UGUUUAAAAAUUCAUCUUUUUUACUAUUAAAAGUUGGCGUGACUGGCGAAAUAACUAGAUAGUGACACGUGACACGUGUACCUCGUAUUGAUGUGUGUGAAAUAGUUUUUUAACAAUAGUAAUAGAUGAAAUUUUUAACA
rfam:Gossypium raimondii Chr01_contig_157, whole genome shotgun sequence.